AUGGUUCUCAAGACAGAGCUCGGCCGUUUUAGCGGUGCAAAGAUAUACCUAGGGAAGGGUAUCCGAUUCAUCCGUUCAGAGUGUCAGGUAUUCCUUUUCUCGAACUCCAAGUGCAAGCGCUACUUCCGCAACCAUCUCAAGCCCGCUAAGCUCACAUGGACGGCCAGGUUCAGGAAGCAGCACAAGAAGGAUAUCCAUGCCGAGGCUGCAAAGAAGAGGCGGCGCACAACCAAAAGGCCAUAUUCCAGGUCUAUUGUCAGUGCUUCUCUUGAUGUCAUCCAGAAGAAGAGAGCCGAGAAGCCUGAGGUCCGUGAUGCAGCCAGGGAAGCAGCUCUCCGACCUGUGAACUGA
rnacentral:rRNA from 1 species